CUUGUUCUGACUUUUGAGUAUCCUAAAACCUCGCCAAAACCCUCUGCUGUUGCUUUCUCUCCCUGUGAGAAAUGGGAGAGCAUAAUGUCCAUCUUUCGUCUUCUUUCACCCAAAUUGCGAUCGCUGAUCAACAUUGCAGUGACUGAUAAGGGUGAAAUUUCACAUCCGUUGAAGAAAUCAGAGGCUGUGGAGAAGCAGAAUGCCAUGGUUGUGGAGAUAUCUGAAAAGAACCGUUGAAGAAAUCAGAGGUUGUGGAGAUAUCUGAAAAGAA